GUGAACGCUGGCGGUAGGCCUAACACAUGCAAGUCGAACGGCAGCACAGUAAGAGCUUGCUCUUACGGGUGGCGAGUGGCGGGCGGGUGAGGAAUACAUCGGAAUCUACUUUUUCGUGGGGGAUAACGUAGGGAAACUUACGCUAAUACCGCAUACGACCUACGGGUGAAAGCAGGGGAUCUUCGGACCUUGCGCGAUUGAAUGAGCCGAUGUCGGAUUAGCUAGUUGGCGGGGUAAAGGCCCACCAAGGCGACGAUCCGUAGCUGGUCUGAGAGGAUGAUCAGCCACACUGGAACUGAGACACGGUCCAGACUCCUACGGGAGGCAGCAGUGGGGAAUAUUGAACAAUGGGCGCAAGCCUGAUCCAGCCAUACCGCGUGGGUGAAGAAGGCCUUCGGGUUGUAAAGCCCUUUUGUUGGGAAAGAAAAGCAGCAGGUUAAUACCCCGCUGUUCUGACGGUACCCAAAGAAUAAGCACCGGCUAACUUCGUG
rnacentral:rRNA from 1 species